UACAGAGGGCUCAAGCGUUGUUCGGAAUCAUUGGGCGUAAAGGGUGCGUAGGCGGCUCGGCAAGUCGGGUGUGAAAUCUUGGAGCUUAACUCCGAAACUGCAUUCGAUACUGCAGUGCUUGAGGACUGGAGAGGAGACUGGAAUUUACGGUGUAGCGGUGAAAUGCGUAGAUAUCGUAAGGAAGACCAGUGGCGAAGGCGGGUCUCUGGACAGUUCCUGACGCUGAGGCACGAAGGCCAGGGGAGCAAACGGG
rnacentral:rRNA from 1 species